UAAUUGUAUUUAUGGGUUACAAAGAGCUAGGUAGUUAAGCGUAAUUAAAAGAAAUUUACAACAGCAUGAUAAGGAUAGAACAAACAUGACAACCUCAACCUGUUAGCAAGUGACUGUGAUUAUCUCUAGACAAUAAAUACCACUACUGUAUAAACACCGUUACUGCAAGCUAUGCACAAUACUAAAGAAUACCAACAACCAAAGCUGCAAUAACCAAAUAAAGGGAACCAGUAUAUUUCGGGGAGCCUUCAUUAGAACCAUGGUGCUGGUGAUGGUUCAUAG
rnacentral:misc_RNA from 1 species